UGGUUCUGGCAUCGAUGAAGAACGCAGCGAAAUGCGAUAAGUAAUGUGAAUUGCAGAAUUCAGUGAAUCAUCGAAUCUUUGAACGCACAUUGCGCCCCUUGGUAUUCCGGGGGGCAUGCCUGUUCGAGCGUCAUUUCAACCCUCAAGCUCUGCUUGGUCUUGGGCUCUGCCGGCAACGGCUUGCCUUAAACUCAGUGGCGGUGCCAUUCGAGCUCUACGCGUAGUAAUGUAAACCCUCGCGAUUGAGUCUUGGUGGAUGCUGGCCAGCAACCCCUCCAAUUUUUCUAUGGUUGACCUCGGAUCAGGUAGGGAUACCCGCUGA
rnacentral:misc_RNA from 1 species